rnacentral:lncRNA from 1 species
GCGGGGCGGAGCGCGGAGCCCGCUCGGGGCUGCGGAUGCUCCGUCCGGCACCGCCGGUGGCAGCGGGGCGGGCGCCAGCCCGGCUCUGGGCGUCUGUAACGGGCAGCGCGACCGCGACGGAGCCGCCGGUACCGGCUCUUCAACGGCGGUACCGGCACCGGUACCGGCAGCGCUCCGGCCCUGCUAUCCCAGCACCGGCAUCAGUGCUUGGAUCCCGGCACCAGGACCGACCGGCCUCACUGACACCGGCACCGCCACUGACACCGGUACCGGCUCUUCUUCCCCGGCACAAGGUCCGGUGUCCCCGCCACCGGGACUACACCCCGUUAUCCUCCCCCGGCACUGGGACCACUCCGAUUCCCCGGCAUUGCUCGUCCUUCUCCUGCACCGGCACCGACCGGCCCUUCCCGGCUCCCCGGGCCCCCGCCUGCCGCAGCUUUGAAAACCCACGAGUGGUGGGAACGGAGAGCUGGGCACGGUGGAGUGAGCACAAGGAGCACCGAGGCCAGCACAGGGAGACACUGUCCCCUGACCUGGCAGGGACACGGAGCAGGGACCAGCCAGGACCCUCCAGGGACCAGCCCAGGGGCGUUCUGGUAGGAGCAGCCAGGGGUGGUGGGCAGCACUGGGCAUACUGGGGAUACUGGGGAUGCUGGGAGUGGCUGUGAUGGCGCCAUGGGACCCCUGCAUGGUGAGGGGCAGGGGCUGCAGUGCUGGGUGGGAGGGGGACAGGGCCCUGCAGGGUCAGGGGAGGGAUCCCUUGGAACCACACACGGAAUGCUUUGGGCUGGAAAGGACCUUAAAGGGAAGGGACCUUAAAGACCCCCCCUGCCAUGGACAGGGGCACCUUCCCUAGAGCAGGGCCCCUCUCAGGCCCAGCCCCACUGCUCAUUGCCCCUCAAAGGAGGGGUCUCCUUUGGCUGUUUUGGUGCCUUGCCAAUGGUGCCAGCAGUGCCACCAGCACCAGCCAGGCUCUGCCGGGGGCUGGGACCAUCACCCGUGGAUGAUCCGAGGUUAACAAGUGGCUCCUGCAAAGGAGAAGCAAAGCAAGAGCUGAGAUUAUAUAAAGGGGGCUGGAGGCAGCUGCGGCACAGGCUGUGAUUAAUUCCUGGCACCGAGGAGCUCUGAAGAUCCAGGGCGGUGCGCUGUGAGGAUGAGGCAGCCCCAGGGUCCCUGGGAUGCAUUCCUGCUGCCGCUGCAGGGCUGCUGUGAGGGGAGGGGGACAGGGAGGGGCUGAGCACUCCAGGGACCCGCUGGGGGCUGACUCAGCACCGCGGUGCCCUGCAGAGCCCGUCCUGCAGAUCCCUUCUCCCUCCCAAAACCACGGUGGGGACACGGCUCAGGGCAGGCCAGCCCAUGAGAGCGGCAGUGAGGGGUGGUGGGGACAGGACAGCCCUUCCCUGAGGCCAUGGGCCCCCUCAGGACAAUGGAAACUUGGUGUUAGAAGAACUUUUGUCCUCUGCAUCCCCAGUGAAGGCAGAGAUUGCUGACUGGGCACUGGGGCCGCAGCUUGGGCCGGCUCCAGUUUGGAUCCAUGCAGUGCUCGAAGCUGGGGCCAAACCAUGAACGUUCAGAGGAGUCAGGGAGUCCUGCCCGCUGGCCUGGCAGCCCUGGGCUGGCGCUGGAGCAGGGGAAUAUCCUGGUGUGGAAAAUCCCCUUGUUUGGCUG